AUACGUAGGGAGCGAGCGGUGUCCGGAAUUACUGGGUGUAAAGGGAGCGUAGGCGGGACGGCAAGUCAGAUGUGAAAUACAUGGGCUCAACCCAUGGGCUGCAUUUGAAACUGCUGUUCUUGAGUGAAGGAGAGGAAAGCGGAAUUCCUGGUGUAGCGGUGAAAUGCGUAGAUAUCAGGAGGAACACCGGUGGCGAAGGCGGCUUACUGGGCUUUUACUGACGCUGAGGCUCGAAAGCGUGGGGAGCAAACAGGAUUAGAUACCCUGGUAGUCCACGCUGUAAACGAUGAUCACUAGGUGUGGGGGGACUGACCCCUCCGUGCCGCAGUUAACACAAUAAGUGAUCCACCUGGGGAGUACGGCCGCAAGGUUGAAACUCAAAUGAAUUGACGGGG
rnacentral:rRNA from 1 species